GUGGCCAAGACAGACAAAAGAAAAGCUGCAGUCAGAUACUAGCCUGAUAAAUGCAGCUUAACAGAAAAAAUAGAGAACUCAGAGCUACAAUGUCAGCAGAUUGGAGCUGUGAAUGGUCACGAAUUUGCCUUAGAAACACAAUAUUGCCAUGACAAUGCCCCUGUGCACAAAGCGAGCUCCAUGAAGACAUGGUGUGUGAAGGUUGGAGUGGAAGAACUCGAGUGUCCUGCACAGAGCCCUGACCUCAACCCCACUGAACACCUUUGGGAUGAACUGGAACACCGACUGAACCCCAGACCUCCUCGACAUCCCAACAUCAGCGCCUGACCUCACUCCCAGAAGAGUGGAGCUCAUUAUAACAGCAAACACACAGGAAUAAAUCUGGAAUGAGACGUUCAACAAGCACAUAUGGGUGCGAUGGUCGGGUGUCCCAAUACUUUUGUCCAUAUAUUGUAGAUCAGCCAAUCACGUGGCAGCAGCACAAUGCAUAAAAUCCUGCAGAUGCAGGUCAAGAGCUUCAGUUAAUGUUCACAUCAAACAUCAGAAUGAAGAAACAGUGUGAUCUCUGUGACUUUAACCGUGGCAUGGUUGUUGGUAAAACGGGCUGGUUUGAGUAUUUCAGAAACUGCUGAUCUCCUGGGAUUGUUGGUUCUGCUGUUUUUGUUGGGAAUUUUGUCAGUGUGUUUGGUUAGUCAGGGAGAAAAGGGAAGCUAAACAUCAUUUGAUUAUCACUUUUUUUGAUUUUGUAAGACAGCUUCUUUCUGCACAGUUAGUUUUGUUUGUCAUUUUGAAGCAAUACUGGCAACUGCAAAUAUUUCCCACAAUAUAUCUCA